rnacentral:rRNA from 1 species
GAGUGAAGCGGCAAAAGCUCAAAUUUGAAAUCUGGCGUCUUUGGCGUCCGAGUUGUAAUUUGAAGAAGGUAUCUUUGGGCCCGGCUCUUGUCUAUGUUCCUUGGAACAGGACGUCACAGAGGGUGAGAAUCCCGUGCGAUGAGAUGACCCGGGUCUGUGUAAAGUUCCUUCGACGAGUCGAGUUGUUUGGGAAUGCAGCUCUAAGUGGGUGGUAAAUUCCAUCUAAAGCUAAAUAUUGGCGAGAGACCGAUAGCGAACAAGUACAGUGAUGGAAAGAUGAAAAGAACUUUGAAAAGAGAGUGAAAAAGUACGUGAAAUUGUUGAAAGGGAAGGGCUUGAGAUCAGACUUGGUAUUUUGCAUGCUGCUCUCUCGGGGGCGGCCGCUGCGGUUUACCGGGCCAGCAUCGGUUUGGAGCGGCAGGAUAAUGGCGGAGGAAUGUGGCACGGCUUCUGCUGUGUGUUAUAGCCUCUGACGAUACUGCCAGCCUAGACCGAGGACUGCGGUUUUUACCUAGGAUGUUGGCAUAAUGAUCUUAAGUCGCCCGUCUU